rnacentral:rRNA from 1 species
GUGCCAGCAGCCGCGGUAAGACGUAGGGGGCGAGCGUUGUCCGGAUUCAUUGGGCGUAAAGAGCGCGUAGGCGGCCCGGAAAGUGGGGUGUGAAAACCCGAGGCUCAACCUCGGGCGUGCAUUCCAAACUCCCGGGCUCGAGGCAGGUAGGGGAGAUCGGAAUUCCUGGUGUAGCGGUGAAAUGCGCAGAUAUCAGGAGGAACACCGGUGGCGAAGGCGGAUCUCUGGGCCUGAUCUGACGCUGAGGCGCGAAAGCUAGGGGAGCAAACAGGAUUAGAAACCCCGGUAGUCC